GAACCAGCGAAGCCACGUGGGUGAAGACGUCUUUUUGGGCGUAAAACCCCGGAGUACAAUUUAGAAUGAAAGUUGUACGAAGAAGUCCUGACUAACUGCCGUGCCAGCAGUCGCGGUAAAUCGGCGAGGGCGAGUGUUGAUGAAAAAUGGGCGUAAAGGAUCCGUAGGUGGUUAUGUAGACUAAUUGUAAAGUCACCUUAUAUUAGGUGUGCGAUUAGGAUCACAUAGCUAGAGAAUUGCAGAGGGAAGUGGAAUGCUCGAGCGACAGUUAAAAUCGGUGGACCUCGAGUGGAACAUCAGUGGCGAAGGCGACUUCCUGGGCAAUAUCUGACGCUGAGGGAUGAAGGUAGGGGUAGCGAAACGGAUUAGAUACCCGUGUAGUCCCUACAGUAAACGAUGUACAUUGGAAGUUUGAUAUAAGUACUUGAAGUCAUAAAAGAUUGAUGUAAAAAGUUAAUCAUAUAGUGAAUAGAGUAAAAAUAUAUUGAGUUUCUAAGCUAACGCGUUAAAUGUACCGCCUGAAGAGUAUAGUCGCAAGGCUGGAACUCAAAGGACUAGACGGGCGACCAGACCCCCAGCGGAGGAUGCUCCUUAAUUCGAUGUUACGCGCAAAACCUUACCGCUUCUUGACAGAUGAAAACUAAAGAAUUAUGUAAAAGUAAUUAAUUAGUAAUCAUAAACAGGUGUUGCAUGGCCGUCGUCAGUUCGUGUCGUGAGAUGUAGGGUUCAGUCCUUCAACGAACGAAACCCCCGCAUUAUGGAAACAUGUUUAUUAAAAAUAAACUAAAAUGGAUGCUUUGAGAUAAUCAAAGUGAAAUGGGGUUGAUGUCAGGUCCUCAUGGCCCUUAUGAAGCGGGCUGGCAAUGUCCUACAGUGUCAGGGACAGUGGGUAGCAAUGGGGAAACCCGGAGCCUAUUCCUUAAACCCUGACGUGGUUCGGAUCGAGGAUUGCAACUCAUCCUCGUGAAGACGGAGUUGGGAGUAAUCGCGAAUCAGCACGUCGCGGUGAACUACUACAUGGUCGUUGUACUUACUGCCCAUCACGGCUUGGAACGCUACGACCAUCGAAGGAAACGAGGUGGUUAGGGCGGACUGAGCUGAAGUUGUAACAAGGUAG
rnacentral:rRNA from 1 species